ACUCCUACGGGAGGCAGCAGUUAAGAAUCUUGCACAAUGGGCGCAAGCCUGAUGCAGCGACGCCGCGUGAAUGAUGAAGGCUUUAGGGUUGUAAAGUUCAGUAAGCAGGGAAGAAUAAGCAUCGGGUAAUAUUCGGUGUGAUGACGGUACCUGCCUAAAGCCCCGGCUAACUACGUGCCAGCAGCCGCGGUAAUAC
rnacentral:rRNA from 1 species